rnacentral:rRNA from 1 species
CCUACGGUGGGCAGCAGUGGGAAAUAUUGGGCAAUGGGCGCAAGCCUGACCCAGCAACGCCGCGUGAAGGAAGAAGGCUUUCGGGUUGUAAACUUCUUUUCUCAGGGACGAAGAAAGUGACGGUACCUGCGGAAUAAGCCACGGCUAACUACGUGCCAGCAGCCGGGGUAAUACGUAGGGGGCAAGCGUUAUCCGGAUUUCCUGGGUGUAAAGGGCGUGUAGGCGGGACUGCACGUCAGAUGUGAAAACCACGGGCUCAACCUGUGGCCUGCAUUUGAAACUGUAGUUCUUGAGUACUGGAGAGGCAGACGGAAUUCGUAGUGUAGCGGUGAAAUGCGUAGAUAUUAGGAGGAACACCAGUGGCGAAGGCGGCUUUCUGGACUGAAACUGACGCUGAGGCUCGAAAGCGUGGGGAGCGAACAGGAUUAGAUACCCCUGUAGUC